UAACGCAGCUGUUGCUCAGCUCUAAAAAGGGUCAUUUAGGUUCUCCCCUUAAACAUUUGAAGUUAACUCAGCUAAAGGUCUGAUUUUGCUGAUGUUCCCUUCAAGCGGCCUUUUUGCAAAAAUAAACUGUAGUUUAUCUGAACGCGCACUUUGUGUACGACCUCAUUGUGUGUUCAAACAUGCCAAUGAAGAACAGGAAAGGCACACGUGUGACUUAUCGGAUAAACCAACGACAGACUUGACAGCUACUGAAGAGGCCACUGACGAGUGCCUUCAAGAACUUGAGCGGAUAAACCGGGAGAUUGAAAGUGUGAAGCACCAAGUUGAGGAAGAGCAGAGGAGACUUUCACACUACCAGAGUAAAAAUGUAGCCCAAAAUUCAUAUUCUUCACACACCUCUCCUUCAGCUCCUCGCGCCAAACCAGAAAAGUACAUACUCGACAGUACAAAGCCUAGGACAGAUUUGGAGUAUGACCCUCUCUCCAAUUUCUCUUCUGAUCUGCGCUCCUACUGCUCAUCAAAUAGGGAGCACAAAACUAGAAAUGGGCAAGAUUCGAAAAGAAGAGGACGAGCUACACUAAAUCAAAGGAAAUUAAAUGUGCAGGCGCCCCCACCUCCAAAACGGUCUCCUGAGCAUUCAGAUUCAAACGAAGAGGACAUUUUAAUAAUUGACAUUCCUCCUUCCCCUGACAAAGUUAAAGUCAAAACAAAAACAGUUUUAAACUUGGCCUCUGUUAAUGUAAGUGAAAAAAUCAAAACUGUGGAACAAAGCGAAAAACCUUUAAAUGCAAUGUCUUCUAAAAAUGUUACAAGCAAUAACUUCAUACCAACUGAUGAGAAUAUUUUUGUUAAAAUGAAUCAGCAUUUGUCUAAUUAUCUAAACCCACCACAACCAUGUGAACAGAAGAAAACACUACAUGAUAGAAACUCCAAUGCUAAUGCUCUCCCAGUUAAUGAGGCUCCAACAAGUCAGAUUCAGAAAUCUGAAGCUCCUGGUGAUAAUAUAAACACUGGUGAUUCUCCAAACCUACUAUCGAUCAAAUCAAGAAAAAAUCAAGAGCAGAACCACCCUAUUGCACCGCAGCAACUACAGAUGGUGUUUGUUGGGAGCCUUUGUGAACCUCAGGAUAUUUUGGCAGCUGCAAAAUUGACAAGUAAUGUUGAAAUGCAGUCUGCCAUAAAUGACAGGCAAGUCCCAUCCAAAAAAGAACAAGUUAUAAUGAUUGACUCUAGCACUGAAGAUGAACUAAAUUACUCAGAUUUGGAUAUAUCUGAGAGUGAUCCAGAUGAGGAAUGUUACAGGAUUUUUAUGGAGGCAAAUGGAGAGGACCCCAACCUUAACCCUAACUGUAAGCCACCUGAACCUCCACCUGACUUUGGCCAUAAUGCAGAGGCAGAGAAAGUAGAUGUCAGUUUGCCACUGCCAGCUGUAUUGGGAAAGAAGAGGGUUGCUCACGAAGCCAAAAUCACAGAUCAGUCGGGUACGAAGGUCCGACCACAGCCCCAGGUUCUUGUACCCGUACGGGCGCCAGUGUCCUCAGCUCCUCUAGCACCUGCACUGCCCAUGAUCCCCAAAGUGGAGCAGGAGGCUUCAGUAUUGACCACGUCCAUCAGAGCAGGACAGGCCUCGAUUUCCAAAGGGCGCUCUGAAGCCCAAUGUGCACAAACCACCCAGUGUUCUGCCACAAAAAAGCCAGUAUCAUACGUCAGUUAUAUUCCUCUGGGAGCUACAGUGAUUGAUGUGGGAAACAACCUGCACUUAGUCCUGCCAGAGGGGACUUUCUCAGUGUCUGACAGCCCUGGACAAGUUAACUCAGUCCUAACUCCCAUUACACCAGCGAAUACACACUCAAUGACCAUCAGACAGGCUGGUCAUCCGUCUGCACCAACACAACAGAGGUGCACCUCCCAACCUGUGAUCAUCCCCCCUCUGGCUCGCAGGCCAAUCAUGGCCACAACAAGCGCAAAUCAGUGUUCCUCAACUACAGCUUCUGUAGUGAAGCCAGUUGCUACAAAACGUAAAUUAAAGCAGCAAUGUGAGACUGUCAAAGUGCCCCAUGACAUAAGGCAGAGUUAUGUGAAUAAGUUUACGGAAGAGUUUAUGAAGACCACAAGUAAUGUGAAUGACGCUUUUGAAAAGGCACUUGCUGAGGAAAAGACUGUCUAUAAUCGUAGUGCAAACAAAUUAAAAUAUCUGAGUGUUGCUGUAAAUGCACUGAAGAGGCUCAGGAACCAAAGUUGUGGAGCAGUUGAAGACAACCAUCAAACUAGUCAAAAGACAAAAGGCCACAUCCCAUUGAACCGGAGUAUGCUGAAUGGAAAAGGGGUGGUAAUGUUGUAUGAGUGUUUAAAGGACUAUGUUUUGACUGAGGAAAUGCUGAUUGAAAGAAACUUUCCACUCCAGAAUCCAGAAAAACCUGGAAGUGCUAUUCUUUUUGCAGACAACAAAAAAAGCACAUCAUAUUCCCUUCGGAAACUGUGCUGCCGUUGUGGUGCUACAUACUCUGUGAGUCGCACAGGGAAACACACUCGAAAGGAGGAGUGCACUUAUCACUAUGGAAAGGGGGUUGAAAAUAAAGUGCCUGGCGGUGUGGAGACACGCUACAGUUGCUGUCAGGGAGUAAUGGGAUCACCUGGCUGCCAAGUGUUCAAGCUGCAUGUGUGUAAUUCCUUAAGCAUGGACGGGUUUGUAUCAACUGCACGAAGAGAUCCUGCAGAUAAAAGCUGUCCUGGAGUUUUCUCCUUGAACUGUGAAAUGUGUUAUACCAUUUAUGGUUUGGAGUUGUCAAGAGUGACUGUGGUCAACACCAGUCUUCAGAUUGUUUAUGACACCUUUGUGAGACCAAACAACGAGGUAAUCGACUAUAAUACAAGGUUUACUGGGAUCAGUCAGGAAGAUGUGGAGAGACACUCUCACUCCCUUAAAGAAGUCCAAGAUGCUCUAUUAAGCUUCAUCAGUGCUGAUACAAUUCUAAUUGGUCACAGCCUAGAAACAGACCUGUGUGUUCUCAAGUUGCUACAUGGAACAGUGGUGGACACAUCUGUGGUUUUUCCCCAUCGUCUUGGUUCCCCUCAUAUACUCUCACUACACAACCUCACAGCUGAAUAUCUCAGAAAGAUCAUCCAAGAGAGUGUGUGUGGCCAUGACACUGCUGAAGAUGCUGUUGCAUGCAUGGAACUUAUGAUCUGGAAGGCCAAAGAAGACAGAAAACUGAAAAAAUUGCAAUAAAUCUAAUGCACUGUUUACUCGCAUUUCCACAAACAAAACUUACAAGUCUUGAGUAAAAGAUAAAGGAGGAGCAGUAUCACAGACAGAAGAAAAGCGGCCACAUCUAGACAAUGGUACUGGUACCAGUGAUGUUAUUGAUCAUGGAUCCAAGUGUAAAGACAACAAUACCAGCAUCUCCGGAACUCUCCACAAACUCUUCUAGAUCCUGUGAUAGAGGAUCUUACUACUCAAUUGCAAGUUAUUUUAGAUUGACAUACUGGCGCCACUGAAAAAUUUAACUUAAAAUAAAAAGAGACUAAACCUUU